GUUCAGUGUUUACUGAGGACCUACUGUGUGCCCAACCCUGUGGAUACAGAGAUGAACAAAGCCCAGUUCCUGCUCCCAAAGGGCUUCCUGACUAGUGGUGUGACCACCCAUUUAUGAAGAGAGGAAAACUGAGAGCCAAGGGAAGGAAUGGACUUGCCCAGGAUCACACAGCUCAAGGUGAGGAGAUCAAGGGUUGAGCACAAGUCAGCUGCGGAGAUGACAGCAGAGCUGGACGGAGAGCCGGCCUCCGGGCUUUGUCCUCAGCCUCGGUUGCAUCACAUGUGUACCCUCAGGACUUCAAGUACAAUGCUGGAAAGAAGAGUUGAUGUGGACAUUUUUGUCUUGUUCCUGAUUUUAAAGCAAUGCUUCAAAUCUUUCACCUUGAAGAAUGAUGUUUGCUGUAAUUAUUUGAUAAAAGCUCUUUAUCAGGUAGGACAUUUCAUUAUGAAUUGGUGGUAAAUUUUAGCAAAUAUUUUUUGCUACACUUGUUUUGAUAACCAUAUGGUCUUUAUCCAUUAAUAUGGUGAAUUAUAUUAAUAGCUUUUCUAAUGUUAAAUCACUCUUGUAUUCCUAGGAUCAACCUAACUUGACCACAAUACAUUAUCUUUUUUAUACACUGCUGAAUUCAAUUUCUAGGAUUUUUGCAUCUAGGUGAAGAAAUGAGAUUGGCCUCUAAUUUUCUUGACCAAUUUAAUUUCUUUAUAUUCCUCCAACAGAUUUGUCACUGUAGCUAAGCCCAGGUCAAUUAUCUCCAAUUUAGAAGGCCCUUCCUACCACUGCUGGCUCCUAAAUAGCCUUUCCAUUCUGGCUUUCUCUCCUAGCAUCAGUGCAUUGAUGCCUGGGUACCAGCCACAGUAGAGACCAAACACCCCCCUGGAGGUCAGUGGCAGGCCUGAAGAAGCCAAACGCUUGGAGGUCUGGCUGAUUGUCAAUCCACAUCCCUGCUCUCCUACUCAAAACUCACUUUGUCUAAGAAGCUCUUCUUGAUUACCAGCCUGUGAUCUACUUUGAAGGCGGGGACCAUGUGUUUUCCGUCUUUGUAUCCCCAGGGUCCAACACAGAAGUUGCUCAUAAAUGUUUGGGAAACUGAGUUUACCCAACCCAAUUCUGAAUGCUUCCUGGCUGAGGUGACCCUGAUUUAAUUUUUUUUUUUUUUUCAAAAUAGUCGAGCUUUUUUGCACUCAUUACAGGCAUAGGCUCUGUCUCACAAGACAGACAGUGAUUAUUUUGUAGAUGAGAAUUGUGUCUACUGAGGAAUUGCUUUUGACUUUCCAACUGCAGAGCCUGCCCUUCACUGACCCAAAGAGUCUUGUCCAUCUGUGUUGUCCACAUCCUUUCUCACAGAUUGGAAACUCUAGGUAGGCUUCGCUCUUUAAGGUUUCCAGGAGGGCAUGUCCUCCGUGCUUUCAUGCCACACGUUUGCCCAUGACCUUUUCCUAGCCUGCUCUCUCUCCAACCCCUCUUCUCCAAAUGAACUCCUCUGUCUUUUCCCUUGUACUCAAAGGUCAGAUCCUCAGUGAAGCCCCUCCCUACUCUCCUCCUUCCCUUCCUCUCCCCCUGGAGUCAUUCUUUCAUCCUGUGUGCUCUUCAGAUGUUGUAUACACGUGCCUAUUGGAAACAACAACAACAACAACAAAACCCACUUUCUUUUAAACCCUGAAAUACUUCAGUGUAUAUUUCCUAAGAUCAGGAUAUUCUCUUACAGGAGUUACAGUACAGUCGUCACAAUCAGGAUAUUUAUCGUGGAUACAAAUACAUCUUCGAAUCCACAGUUCAUUUUCAAAUUUCAUCCAUUAUCCCUUUCUUUAACUUUAUUGUAACAAUUGUCACAUUGUUUUAUAGAUGUUUGUUCACAUUUUUCUGUAUCCUGUGUGAUCACAUGCACACAAUCACACCCCAAGGGUCUGGGCUUGUAUCUUUUAUCUUUGAUUCCAGUAAGGUGACUUGUAAGGAAGUUUUGUCUUGUGUGUGUUUAAUUAAUUAACGCAGUUAUAUGACUUGUCUUGCUUUCUCUAGUCUUCCCAGUCUGGCC